rnacentral:rRNA from 1 species
AGAAGGUCACAACCUCUAUCCGCCCGGUAACUACGAGCAUAAGCUUAAAACCCAAAGGACUUGGCGGUGCUUUAGACCCCCCUAGAGGAGCCUGUUCUAGAACCGAUAAUCCCCGUUCAACCUCACCUUUUCUUGCUCGUCCCGCCUAUAUGCCGCCGUCGUCAGCCUACCCUGUGAAGGAACUAAAGUAGGCAAAAUUGGUAAAACCCAAAACGUCAGGUCGAGGUGUAGCACACGAAAAGGAAAGAAAUGGGAUACAUUUCCUCUAUCAGGAAACACGAAUUGUGCUAUGAAACAACACAUGAAGGAGGAUUUAGCAGUAAGCAGAAAGCAGAGCGUUC